rnacentral:misc_RNA from 1 species
UCUCCGUAGGUGAACCUGCGGAGGGAUCAUUACAGAGUUCAUGCCCUACCGGGUAGAUCUCCCACCCUAUGUUAUUAUUACUUUGUUGCUUUGGCGGGCCGUUAGGCUCCGGCCCGACUACCAGCCCCGGCUGGUAAGCGCCCGCCAGAGGACCCAAAACCCUGAAUAUUAGUGUCGUCUGAGUACUAUAUAAUAGUUAAAACUUUCAACAACGGAUCUCUUGGUUCUG